rnacentral:rRNA from 1 species
GGACUACACGGGUAUCUAAUCCGUUUUGCUCCCCACGCUUUCAUGCCUCAAUGUCAGUGACAGAAUAGUUAACUGCCUUCGCCAUAUUGGUGUUCUUUCAUAUAUCUACGCAUUUUACCGCUCCACAUAAAGUUCCGUUAACCUCUCCUGUACUCAAGUUCAACAGUAUUACUGACUUCCACGAGGUUAGGCCUCGAUUUCCCACCAGUAACUUAUCAAACCAUCUACGCAUCCUUUACGCCCAAUAAUUCCGGAUAACGUUCGUCACCUAUGUCUUACCGCGGCUGCUGGCAC